rfam:Felis catus isolate Cinnamon breed Abyssinian chromosome C1, whole genome shotgun sequence.
GCCUGGGUGGCUCAGUCGGUUAAGCGUCUGACUUCGGCUCAGGUCAUGACCUCGCGGUCCGUGGGUUCAAGCCCCAUGUCAGGCU